UACGUAGGGUGCAAGCGUUGCCCCGGAAUUAUUGGGCGUAAAGAGCUCGUAGGCGGUCUGUCGCGUCUGCUGUGAAAACUCAGGGCUUAACCCUGAGCUUGCAGUGGGUACGGGCAGACUAGAGUGCGGUAGGGGAGACUGGAAUUCCUGGUGUAGCGGUGAAAUGCGCAGAUAUCAGGAGGAACACCGGUGGCGAAGGCGGGUCUCUGGGCCGUAACUGACGCUGGAGGAGCGGAAAGCAUGGGGAGCGAACAGG
rnacentral:rRNA from 1 species